rnacentral:tRNA from 1 species
ACAAGGGUGGUGCAGUGGGUAGCUCUGUUGCCUCACAGCAAGAUCCUUGGUUUGAAUCCUGGCCGUUCUG